rnacentral:rRNA from 1 species
AAACCGACACAGGUGGUCAGGUAGAGAAUACUCAGGCGCUUGAGAGAACUCGGGUGAAGGAACUAGGCAAAAUGGUGCCGUAACUUCGGGAGAAGGCACGCUGGCAUUAGGUAAAGGGACUUGCUCCCGGCGCCGAAGCCAGUCGCAGAUACCAGCUGGCUGCAACUGUUUAAUAAAAACACAGCACUGUGCAAACACGAAAGUGGACGUAUACGGUGUGACGCCUGCCCGGUGCUGGAAGGUUAAUUGAUGGGGUCAGCCGCAAGGCGAAGCUCUUGAUCGAAGCCCCAGUAAACGGCGGCCGUAACUAUAACGGUCCUAAGGUAGCGAAAUUCCUUGUCGGGUAAGUUCCGACCUGCACGAAUGGCGUAAUGAUGGCCAGGCUGUCUCCACCCGAGACUCAGUGAAAUUGAACUCGCUGUGAAGAUGCAGUGUACCCGCGGCAAGACGGAAAGACCCCGUGAACCUUUACUAUAGCUUGACACUGAACAUUGAGCCUUGAUGUGUAGGAUAGGUGGGAGGCAUAGAAGUGUGGACGCCAGUCUGCAUGGAGCCAACCUUGAAAUACCACCCUUUAAUGUUU